UCCAAGUUCUAAUGGGUGUUGAUAGGUUU
rnacentral:piRNA from 1 species